rnacentral:rRNA from 1 species
ACCCUUUAACGUUUGAUGUUCUAACCCAGACCCGUAAUCCGGGUCGGGGACCGUGUCUGGUGGGUAGUUUGACUGGGGCGGUCUCCUCCCAAAGAGUAACGGAGGAGCACGAAGGUUGGCUAAGCAUGGUCGGACAUCAUGCGGUUAGUGCAAAGGCAUAAGCCAGCUUGACUGCGAGAGUGACGGCUCGAGCAGGUACGAAAGUAGGUCUUAGUGAUCCGGUGGUUCUGAAUGGAAGGGCCAUCGCUCAACGGAUAAAAGGUACUCCGGGGAUAACAGGCUGAUACCGCCCAAGAGUUCAUAUCGACGGCGGUGUUUGGCACCUCGAUGUCGGCUCAUCACAUCCUGGGGCUGAAGUAGGUCCCAAGGGUAUGGCUGUUCGCCAUUUAAAGUGGUACGCGAGCUGGGUUUAGAACGUCGUGAGACAGUUCGGUCCCUAUCUGCCGUGGGCGCUGGAAGAUUGAGAGGGGUUGCUCCUAGUACGAGAGGACCGGAGUGAACGCACCACUGGUGUACGGGUUGUGAUGCCAAUUGCAUUGCCCGGUAGCUAAGUGCGGAAGAGAUAACCGCUGAAAGCAUCUAAGCGGGAAACUUGCCUCGAGAUGAGUCUUCCCUGACCCUUUAAGGGUCCUGAAGGAACGUUUGAGACUAAGACGUUGAUAGGCUGGGUGUGUAAGUGCAGCGAUGUAUUGAGCUAACCAGUACUAAUGAACCGAGAGGCUUAACCUG